rnacentral:lncRNA from 1 species
CCGUAUAUGCGCACGUUUGAUCUGAGCCGUCCGGGUGCGCGGGAACAGAUCUGGGCCGUCCGAUCGCGCGCACGCGGAUCGCCCCGUGGCCCGCUCUCUAGUCAAUGUUGCCUUGCCACGCGGCGCGUUCUGGUUGGCCGGGGCUGCUGACCGGGCCGCUGACGUGAUGCAACUUUUCUAAAUUGCAUUUUGACUCCAAUUUUCGAUUUUCUUUUCAAAAACACCAACAG